GGAGAGAUGGCUCAGUGGUUAGAGUACUGGCUGCUGGUCCAGAGGACCUGGGUUUGAUUCCCAGCACUCACCU
rnacentral:tRNA from 1 species